rnacentral:tRNA from 1 species
GGGGGUGUAGCUCAGAGGUAGAGAGCUUGCCUAGCUUGCAUGAGGUCCUGGGUUUGACCCCCAGCACUGCAA